GACGAACGCUGGCGGCGUGCUUAACACAUGCAAGUCGAACGGUAAGGCCCUUCGGGGUACACGAGUGGCGAACGGGUGAGUAACACGUGGGUAAUCUGCCCUGCACAUCGGGAUAAGCCUGGGAAACUGGGUCUAAUACCGAAUAGGACCACAGGACACAUGUCCUGUGGUGGAAAGCUUUUGCGGUGUGGGAUGGGCCCGCGGCCUAUCAGCUUGUUGGUGGGGUGAUGGCCUACCAAGGCGACGACGGGUAGCCGGCCUGAGAGGGUGUCCGGCCACACUGGGACUGAGAUACGGCCCAGACUCCUACGGGAGGCAGCAGUGGGGAAUAUUGCACAAUGGGCGAAAGCCUGAUGCAGCGACGCCGCGUGGGGGAUGACGGCCUUCGGGUUGUAAACCUCUUUCACCAUCGACGAAGGUCCGGGUUUUCUCGGGCUGACGGUAGGUGGAGAAGAAGCACCGGCCAACUACGUG
rnacentral:rRNA from 1 species